rnacentral:rRNA from 1 species
CAGUAGCCGCGGGAAUACGUAGGUGGCAAGCGUUGUCCGGAAUUAUUGGGCGUAAAGGGCGCGUAGGCGGACUGAUAAGUCAGGGGUGAAAUCCCAAGGCUCAACCUUGGAACUGCCUUUGAUACUGUUUGUCUUGAGUUCGAGAGAGGUAAGUGGAACUGCGAGUGUAGAGGUGAAAUUCGUAGAUAUUCGCAAGAACACCAACGGCGAAAGCACUCUGCUGGGCCGACACUGACACUGAGAGACGAAAGCUAGGGGAGCAAAUGGGAUUAGAUACCCCGGUAGUCCCUGUCUCUUAUAC